rnacentral:rRNA from 1 species
AGGGUUCGAUUCUGGCUCAGAUUGAACGCUGGCGGCAUGCCUAAUACAUGCAAGUCGAACGGAAACGAUGGAAGCUUGCUUCCAGGCGUCGAGUGGCGGACGGGUGAGUAAUACUUAGGAAUCUGCCUAUUAGUGGGGGACAACUCGAGGAAACUCGAGCUAAUACCGCAUACGCCCCAAGGGGGAAAGCGGGGGAUCUUUCGGGACCUCGCGCUAAUAGAUGAGCCUAAGCCGGAUUAGCUUGUUGGUGGGGUAAAGGCCUACCAAGGCGACGAUCCGUAGCUGGUCUGAGAGGACGAUCAGCCACACUGGGACUGAGACACGGCCCAGACUCCUACGGGAGGCAGCAGUAGGGAAUAUUGCACAAUGGGCGAAAGCCUGAUGCAGCAAUGCCGCGUGUGUGAAGAAGGCCUUAGGGUUGUAAAGCACUUUCAAUAGUGAAGAAAAGCACAAGGAUAAUACCCUUGUGUCAUGACGUUAACUAUACAAGAAGCACCGGCUAACUCCGUGCCAGCCGCCGCGGUAAUA